UACGGAGGGUGCAAGCGUUGCUCGGAAUUAUUGGGCGUAAAGGGUAGGUAGGUGGUCUCAUUUGUCUGGGGUGAAAGCCUUGAGCUUAACUCAAGAAGUGCCCCAGAAACGGUGAGACUGGAGUCCUGGAGAGGGUCGUGGAAUUCCCGGUGGUAGCGGUGAAAUGCGUAGAGAUCGGGAGGAACACCAGAGGCGAAAGCGGCGACCUGGACAGGCACUGACACUCAACUACGAAAGCGUGGGGAGCAAACAGG
rnacentral:rRNA from 1 species